GGCCAGAUUUAUGUCUACGAUUUUUUUUACUCAUACCAAUAUUUGGUAUGAUCGACCAUACCGAUAAGAUAUCGACAUGUAGCUACCGAUAAGAAUAUCACUGGCUCUGACAGCUGUCAGGUAUGACUGCCGUGCCAUCGAUGAUUUAGAAGAGUUUCUGGAAGUUUCAUUUUUCGCCAACUGUCAGCGAAAAAAAAAGUGUGUAAAAAGUGGCAUACGUGUGAAAUAUUGAAUCACGUGUUAACAUAAUUUUUUAUUUAUUAAAGAAAAAGUGGCAUCCAACGUGAAGGACCUUAGUGAGCACAGUAAUAAGUCAUUAAGACUCAUAGAUAAAUUCAAAUUUUUCUUUUCUUUCAAAAUUGCAACUUUAAUUUAUUUUAACAAAUUUCAUUUGUUCAAUUUUAAUUGUUAGGGAAAACAAUGCUUGAGAACUUUAGUUUUCUUCUUGUCCAAAAUUAAUUUCAAAAAUGAAGAUUUUCCUAAAUUGAGGAAUGAUGAGGUGAAAUUAAGUAAGCGUCCAACUUCGGUUGAUCAUCUGUCCCUGUCGAAUUUCCCAAAUCUUUGCUCAAAGUUCACUUUGGAAAUUUGUUUGUUAGUUUCAAACGCUUUGGAAUAUAGAGAUGCAAACUUUAACUCCCCCAGUUCACUAAUAUAAGGAUUUAAUUUCAAUUCUUCUUAAAAGGUUUAGAAAAAGUAUGGCAAAAGUAAACUUGGAAUAAAACACGUUUUUGUUUUAGAACGAAACUUUGUCCAUUACAAAUUUUAAACUUCUAAAUUCUUGUCCUUUGUGACUAUUUUUGUCGAAAGAUAAGAAACAAUUAAAUCUGUUUCUUUAUUUUACCCUUCCCUUACGAGAAAAAUCAGUAUUAUAUACGAUAUCCUUCGACACAUUUCAGUCCCCUGUAGGCAUGUUAGCGAAUUAAACGUAAAUCCAACGAAUUUUAUUGGCGAUACCACAAAUCAGUGUGUGAAGUACGUUGGGAUAGACAUGUUCCGCAUUGCUUUGUCAUUUUCGCCAAUUAAGGGACGACCUAGACUUUGAGUGGUUGUUUCGAAGUAGGAAACAAAACCCUAAUGAGACACUCGACGGUUUUCAUGGCAGUGUAAAUGUCUUAAUCGAUCAGCUGCAUAAGAUGGUCCACCCGAAAACUAGCUCGUGUUCUCAAGACUAAUUUAAGACCUGUAAUAAAGCAUAAACUACUGCGGAAAAUGUACCCGAAAUAAGAGAAAUUUGUGCCAACGCGAAGCUUUUUUAGACGAUGUCAAACACUCACACGGUUACGCUAAAAUGAUCCCUUACAGACGAGGAGUCUCGGAGUUAAUUCCAAGAGCAGAUUCACAAGUCGGAUUCGAAUCAAAAGCGAAUUAGAAGUUGACACAUUUUGCUUGUCGAUAGGAUACAAAAAGUACCCGAAAAAAGAACCUUCGAGUGGAAAAUGUGCGACAACAGAGGAUUCUACUUGGAGCCAUCGAAAGGAACUUGUCCGUCCAAGUAACACGAUCUUUGGGACAUCUGAACAUCGAAGAUUGGCCAACCCUCAAAUCCAGACUAAUCUCAGAACAUAAACACCAAACAUCGAACUACAAACUACUGGAGAACUUCAGGCAGACACCAUACAGAGGAAACCUAAGAGCAUUCUGCGAAGAAGCGGAAAGACGACGUCAAUUAUUAAUUUCGAAACUACACUUGGAAGGUAACCAAUCGGAUUUUGUUAUUUAUAUUCAGGCUAUUAAAGACUCUAUUAAGAUACUGAUAAGGAAACUACCUUAAGAUCCUUAAUUACCAUUGCACAAAAUAAGGGAAUUAAUGAAGAACACAUUAAUUUUGAAUUUUAUAAAAACCCAGAAUACCGUAAUAAAAACUCGAAUUCUAAUCAGAAUUCGUAAGCACAUAAAUUCAAUACAAAUGUUCAAACUCAAUAUUGCCCAAGUUACAGACAAUAUUUCCAACCCAUCCAACCUAAUUUUAAUCAAUACAUGCAACCAUUUAGACCUAGCUAUACCCAUCAGAUAACUAACAACCCACCAAUGUGACACGCACAUAAUUUUUUCAAAUCCAACCAAUACAUAAACUUACAACCCAUUAUUCAAAACAAUCCUUUCCCACAACAUACCAACACAGCCCAAAAUCCCCAAACAAUACAUUUUAGAAGGAAUACAUACCCUCAACUAGAACAACCAUCUACAUCUUAGAAUACAAGCUUGCCGAUAACUAAACGACUAAGACCAUCAGACAGUGAACAAACUAAAAUGUCUAUCGACGAAAUAUAAUAGCCAUUUUAUUUCCCAAUUUUUCGAAUUCUUUACAAAGUGAACCGAGCUUGUCCAAUUGUGAGGUUAUUUCCUCUAAUGUAUAUCCAUCACGUGGAUUCUGUGACGAAAUCAUACUUCAAUCACAUGAAAAACUUUUAAACCCUGGUAUACAGAAAAUUACAAAAUUAUUUAAAGAAAACCACUUCUUUCCAAAUAAAUGCAACAUAGGCAAUUUGGCUAAAACAGAACAUAUAAACACCAAAAUGCCUUUAAAAAUAACACCUAAACCGGAACAUUGCCGAGAAAAAAUUGUAGUUAAUAUUUAUUCAACUGAGGGAAAACAUUACAUCAGUUGCAUUGAUAUUUAUUCUAAAUUCGCUACACUUGAGCAAAUUAAAACUAAGGAUUGGAUAGAAUGCAGAGACGCAUUAAUGCGCAUUUUUAAUCAAUUAGGUAAACCAAUUACUAACAAAUUACUAAAGGCAGACAGAGGCGGAGCUUUCUCCAGUUUAGCUUGGCUUGAAGAAGAAGAAAUCAAAUUAUAGCUUAAUACAGCAAAAAACGGGGUAGCAGACGUCAAAAGAUUACACAAAACCAUAAAUGAAAAAAUUCGUACAAUCAAUUCAUCUGAUGAUGAAGAAGUCAAAUUAAGGAAGAUAGAAACAAUCCUCUACACAUACAACCAAAAAAUUAAACAUGACACUACUGGACCUGCUCAAAUUUUCUUAUACGCUGGGCAUCCAAUAUUAUACACUCAAAAAAUUAAAGAGAAGAAAAUAUAAUAAUAAUAAUUAAUUUCUUAAAAAUCUAUUUAACUUAAAUAGACAUCGUGGUUGACUAUUUUGAGCAAAGACUACGAACCGAUUGCAAUAGAAAUGCAGCUUUCCAGACUCGGACUGUUUAAACCAAAUUUACUAAACUAUGACAAACUUGAAAGUGUAAGUGUAAAAUAUUUUAAACAUUACAAAAUCCACUUGGAUUAACUAUAAUGAUAACCAAUUAUUAAUCAUAUCCCUCAUACCCAUUCAAUUUUCGCUAAUAAACACAAUUAAAAUAAUCCCUUACCCAGACUCCAAUGGCUAUCAGAUAGAUUACACAGACACACAAUGAAAAAGAAACUAAAUUUUAUAAUGCCGAAAAUGAAGAAAUAAAAAAUGAAUGUGUCACCAAUAUUAUUAAACACUUUAAACCAAUUUCUAAUUUUAAGCGAGUACACACGAACGAGAAAUAAUAAAAUACAUAAAACCAAACACAAUUGUAACCUGGAACUUAACCCAAACAAUUCUUAACCAAAAUUGCCAAAA